CCCUGUGACAUACCUAUAACGUUGCCUCGGCGGGAACAGACGGCCCCGUAACACGGGCCGCCCCCGCCAGAGGACCCCCUAACUCUGUUUCUAUAAUGUUUCUUCUGAGUAAACAAGCAAAUAAAUUAAAACUUUCAACAACGGAUCUCUUGGCUCUGGCAUCGAUGAAGAACGCAGCGAAAUGCGAUAAGUAAUGUGAAUUGCAGAAUUCAGUGAAUCAUCGAAUCUUUGAACGCACAUUGCGCCCGCCAGUAUUCUGGCGGGCAUGCCUGUUCGAGCGUCAUUACAACCCUCAGGCCCCCGGGCCUGGCGUUGGGGAUCGGCGGAAGCCCCCUGCGGGCACAACGCCGUCCCCCAAAUACAGUGGCGGUCCCGCCGCAGCUUCCAUUGCGUAGUAGCUAACACCUCGCAACUGGAGAGCGGCGCGGCCACGCCGUAAAACACCCAACUUCUGAAUGUUGACCUCGAAUCAGGUAGGAAUACCCGCUGAACUUAAGCAUAUCAAUAAGCGGAGGA
rnacentral:rRNA from 1 species